CCUACGGGGGGCAGCAGUGAGGAAUAUUGGUCAAUGGCCGUAAGCCUGAACCAGCCAAGUCGCGUGAGGGAUGAAGGCUCUAUGGAUCGUAAACCUCUUUUAUAAGGGAAUAAAGUUCGGGACGUGUGCCGUUUUGUAGGUACCUUAUGAAUAAGGAUCGGCUAACUCCGUGCCAGCAGCCGCGGUAAUACGGAGGAUCCGAGCGUUAUCCGGAUUUAUUGGGUUUAAAGGGUGCGUAGGCGGCUUUUUAAGUCAGCGGUGAAAGUCUGUGGCUCAACCAUGGAAGUGCGGUGGAAACUGGGAGGCUUGAGUGUGUGUGAGGCAGGCGGAAUUCGUGGUGUAGCGGUGAAAUGCUUAGAUAUCACGAAGAACCCCGAUUGCGAAGGCAGCCUGCCAAGCCAUUACUGACGCUGAUGCACGAAAGCGUGGGGAUCAAACAGGAUUAGAUACCCCUGUAGUC
rnacentral:rRNA from 1 species